GCCUGGGUGGCUCAGUCAGUUGAGCAUCUGACUUCAGCUCAGGUCAUGAUCUUGCAGUUUGUGAGUUCGAGUCCCACGUCAGGCU
rnacentral:tRNA from 1 species